rnacentral:rRNA from 1 species
AACGAACGCUGGCGGCAUGCCUAACACAUGCAAGUCGAACGAGAUCUUCGGGUCUAGUGGCGCACGGGUGCGUAACGCGUGGGAAUCUGCCCUUUGGUUCGGAAUAACAGUUGGAAACGACUGCUAAUACCGGAUGAUGACGAAAGUCCAAAGAUUUAUCGCCAGAGGAUGAGCCCGCGUAGGAUUAGCUAGUUGGUGUGGUGAAGGCGCACCAAGGCGACGAUCCUUAGCUGGUCUGAGAGGAUGAUCAGCCACACUGGGACUGAGACACGGCCCAGACUCCUACGGGAGGCAGCAGUGGAGAAUAUUGGACAAUGGGCGAAAGCCUGAUCCAGCAAUGCCGCGUGAGUGAUGAAGGCCUUAGGGUUGUAAAGCUCUUUUACCCGGGAUGAUAAUGACAGUACCGGGAGAAUAAGCUCCGGCUAACUCCGUGCCAGCCGCCGCUGUAA